UAUGCCUAGCCCUAAACAUUGAUAGAACUAUACUUAUUUUAUCCGCCCGGGUACUACGAGCAUCAGCUUAAAACCCAAAGGACUUGGCGGUGCUUUAGAUCCACCUAGAGGAGCCUGUUCUAGAACCGAUACUCCCCGUUAAACCUCACCUUUCCUUGUCUAAUCCGCCUAUAUACCGCCGUCGUCAGCUUACUCUGUGAAGAAUAUGAAGUAAGCAUAACCGGUUUAACCUAAAACGCCAGGUCGAGGUGUAGCGUAUGGAAGGGGAAGAAAUGGGCUACAUUCAAUAGUUAUAUUGAAUACGGAUGACACACUGAAAAAAUGUCUGAAGGAGGAUUUAGUAGUAAGCCGGGAAUAGAGUGCCCUGCUGAAAUUGGCCCUGAAGCGCGUA
rnacentral:rRNA from 1 species